rnacentral:rRNA from 1 species
CCCUUAGAUGUCCUGGGCCGCACGCGCGUUACACUGAUGCAUUCAACGAGCUUAUAACCUUGGCCGAGAGGCCUGGGCAAUCUUGUUAACGUGCAUCGUGAUGGGGAUAGAUUAUUGAAAUUAUUAAUCUUGAACGAGGAAUUCCUAGUAAACGCAGAUCAUCAAUCUGCAUUGAUUACGUCCCUGCCCUUUGUACACACCGCCCGUCGCACCUACCGAUUGGAUGGUCCGGUGAAGCCUCGGGAUUGUGGUUCUUGCCGCUUUAUUGUAGCGUGACCGCGAGAACUUGUCUAAACCUUAUCAUCUAGAGGAAGGUGAAGUCGUAACA